rnacentral:rRNA from 1 species
AGAUUGAACGCUGGCGGCAUGCCUAACACAUGCAAGUCGAACGGGAGUAGCAAUACUCUAGUGGCGGACGGGUGAGGAAUACGUAGGAAUUUGCCCUUAAGUGGGGGAUAACCCGGGGAAACCCGGAUUAAUACCGCAUGACCUCGAAAGAGCAAAGGUGGGGGAUCGCAAGACCUCACGCUUUUGGAGAAGCCUACGUCGGAUUAGCUAGCGUGGUGAGGUAAUGGCCCA